rnacentral:tRNA from 1 species
AAAAUCCUAGUAUAAUUUGAAUAUGUCUCAUUGUCAAUGGGGAGAUUGGGAUUUUG